rnacentral:rRNA from 1 species
GACGAACGCUGGCGGCGUGCUUAACACAUGCAAGUCGAGCGGUAAGGCCCUUUCGGGGGUACACGAGCGGCGAACGGGUGAGUAACACGUGGGUGACCUGCCCUCAGCUCUGGGAUAAGCCUGGGAAACUGGGUCUAAUACUGGAUAUGACUCCACGGUGCAUGUCGUGGGGUGGAAAGCCUUGUGCGGCUGAGGAUGGGCCCGCGGCCUAUCAGCUUGUUGGUGGGGNGAUGGCCUACCAAGGCGACGACGGGUAGCCGGCCUGAGAGGGCGACCGGCCACACUGGGACUGAGACACGGCCCAGACUCCUACGGGAGGCAGCAGUGGGGAAUCUUGCGCAUGGGCGAAAGCCUGACGCAGCGACGCCGCGUGAGGGAUGACGGCCU